GAUGAACGCUGGCGGCGUGCCUAAUACAUGCAAGUCGAGCGAACAGACGAGGAGCUUGCUCCUCUGACGUUAGCGGCGGACGGGUGAGUAACACGUGGAUAACCUACCUAUAAGACUGGGAUAACUUCGGGAAACCGGAGCUAAUACCGGAUAAUAUAUUGAACCGCAUGGUUCAAUAGUGAAAGACGGUUUUGCUGUCACUUAUAGAUGGAUCCGCGCCGCAUUAGCUAGUUGGUAAGGUAACGGCUUACCAAGGCAACGAUGCGUAGCCGACCUGAGAGGGUGUUCGGCCAACCUGGAACUGAGCCCCGGCCCAGACUCCUACGGGAGGCAGCAGUAGGGAAUCUUCCGCAAUGGGCGAAAGCCUGACGGAGCAACGCCGCGUGAGGGAUGAAGGUCUUCGGAUCGUAAAACUCUGUUAUUAGGGAAGAACAAAUGUGUAAGUAACUAUGCACGUCUUGACGGUACCUAAUCAGAAAGCCACGGCUAACUACGUG
rnacentral:rRNA from 1 species